rnacentral:rRNA from 1 species
GAGAGUUAAACAGUACGUGAAAUUGUUGAAAGGGAAACGAUUGAAGCCAGUCGUACCUUCGGGUAAUCAGCCUUUCGGGUGCGAUUCUGUGGAGUUUGAGGAGCUUAACACCUUCAUGCUUUGCAUAUUCGUGCUCUUGGGUGUACUUGCCCGUGUGGUUGGUUAACAUCAAUUUCGGGCACCAUAAAAUGGCUGGAGGAAUGUAGCUUCGAUCUUGUAUUGAAGUGUUAUAGCCUUCGGUAGAUGUGGUGAUCGAGAUUGAGGAUUGCAACGGAUACCUUUCGGGGCUACCUGUCUGAUCUCUGAUCGUUGCUUUGGUGCUGAAAGCGUGCUUAUAGUUAUCAAAGUCGAUGGUUAAUAGGUUAGAAUGGGUUAAAUUCGUUAAGGAUGUUGACGUAAUGGCUUUAAACGA